CCUACGGGUGGCAGCAGUGAGGAAUAUUGGUCAAUGGACGAGAGUCUGAACCAGCCAAGUAGCGUGAAGGAUGACUGCCCUAUGGGUUGUAAACUUCUUUUAUAUGGGAAUAAAAUGUUCCACGUGUGGGAUUUUGUAUGUACCAUAUGAAUAAGGAUCGGCUAACUCCGUGCCAGCAGCCGCGGUAAUACGGAGGACCCGAGCGUUAUCCGGAUUUAUUGGGUUUAAAGGGAGCGUAGGUGGAUUUUUAAGUCAGUUGUGAAAGUUUGCGGCUCAACCGUAAAAUUGCAGUUGAAACUGGCAGUCUUGAGUACAGUAGAGGUGGGCGGAAUUCGUGGUGUAGCGGUGAAAUGCUUAGAUAUCACGAAGAACUCCGAUUGCGAAGGCAGUUCACUGGACUGCAACUGACACUGAGGCUCGAAAGUGUGGGUAUCAAACAGGAUUAGAUACCCUGGUAGUC
rnacentral:rRNA from 1 species